rnacentral:lncRNA from 1 species
GCAGGACUGCUUGAGACCAGGAGUUUGCAACCAGCCUGGGCAAUGUAGGGAGACCCCAUCUCUACAAAAAAAAAAUUAUUGGGGAGGCUGAGGUGGGAGGAUUGCUUGAGCCCAAGAGGUCAAGGCUGCACGGAGUUACGAUGUAUGAUGGCACCACUGUACUCCAGCCUGGGUGACAGAGGGACAACCUGUCUCAAAAAAGAAAAGAAAAAGAAAAAGAAAGAAAUGUUAACAGAAGGAUGAACCCUGCAACUGUGGUAUGGGCUGAAUGAGGCAGGUGGUAAAUGAGGCAGCCAGGCCCCCAUGGAAUGAAACCUCAUGUGUGACUGGAAGACAGUGCUGGUCUACUACACUAGCCCAUGCCACCCCAGGUCGCAGCAUGUGAAGGCAGGGCCCCUGUCUCUGUGCAGGAGGGACUGGCAAACCCCAGAGAGACAGGCAGCCACGACGGACCAACCCUGAGCCAGAGAGCACACAUAGGGCAGGGCCAUGGUGUGUGCCCCAAUUUGUGUUUUUGUGUCAUAUUCAGAUGUAAAGAGCUUAUUGAUUUAGUAAGCCCUUUGGUGACAUGAGCUGUCACCAACACCUGAGGACUGUGUGGUGAUACCUACUCCACUACUACAAAGGCCGUGG